rnacentral:rRNA from 1 species
AACGAACGCUGGCGGCAUGCCUAACACAUGCAAGUCGAACGAGACCUUCGGGUCUAGUGGCGCACGGGUGCGUAACGCGUGGGAACCCGCCCUUAGGUUCGGAAUAACUCCCCGAGAGGGGUGCUAAUACCGGAUAAUGUUUUCGGACCAAAGAUUUAUCGCCUUUGGAUGGGCCCGCGUUGGAUUAGCUAGUUGGUAGGGUAAAAGCCUACCAAGGCGACGAUCCAUAGCUGGUCUGAGAGGAUGAUCAGCCACACUGGGACUGAGACACGGCCCAGACUCCUACGGGAGGCAGCAGUGGGGGAUAUUGGACCAUGGGCGAGAGCCUGAGACAGCGAGGCCGCGUGAGUGAUGAAGGCCUUAGGGUUGUAAAGCUCUUUUACCCGGGAUGAUAAUGGCAGUACCGGGAGAAUAAGCUCCGGCUAACUCCGUG